rnacentral:rRNA from 1 species
GGGAGCUUAGGUACCGGAGGGGGGGUGAUGCGGGGGGGGCAGGGGGUGUCCGGAGUUAUUGGGGGGAAAGAGCGUGUGGGGGGCCAGGUAGGUGGGGUGUGAAAACUGGAGGCUCAACCGUCAGACGUCGACGCAAACCCCCUGGCUAGAGGGCGGAAGAGGAGAGUGGAAUUCCUGGUGUAGCGGUGAAAUGCGCAGAUAUCAGGAAGAACACCCGUGGCGAAGGCGGCUCUCUGGGACGGUACUGACGCUGAGACGCGAAAGCGUGGGGAGCGAACAGGAUUAGAUACCCCUGUAGUC